rnacentral:misc_RNA from 1 species
AAAGUCGUAACAAGGUCUCCGUAGGUGAACCUGCGGAGGGAUCAUUAAUGAAUGGCCUCGUGGCCUUCAACCCCCUCAAGUCCUGUGGAAGCAAGAUGUGCUUCGGCGCCCCGGCGCCGUUUUUAUGCCGAAAUCAGCUUUGUGUCUGAAUAUGAAAACAGAAUUGAAAACUUUCAACAAAGGAUCUCUUGGCUCUC